UACGUAGGGUGCAAGCGUUAAUCGGAAUUACUGGGCGUAAAGCGUGCGCAGGCGGUUUUGUAAGUCUUGCGUGAAAGCCCCGGGCUUAACCUGGGAAUUGCGAUGGAGACUGCAAGGCUUGAAUCUGGCAGAGGGGGGUAGAAUUCCACGUGUAGCAGUGAAAUGCGUAGAGAUGUGGAGGAACACCGAUGGCGAAGGCAGCCCCCUGGGUCAAGAUUGACGCUCAUGCACGAAAGCGUGGGGAGCAAACAGG
rnacentral:rRNA from 1 species